CUUAAAUGAAUUGACGGGGGCCCGCACAAGCGGUGGAGCAUGUGGUUUAAUUCGAAGCAACGCGAAGAACCUUACCAGGUCUUGACAUACUCGUGCUAUUCCUAGAGAUAGGAAGUUCCUUCGGGACACGGGAUACAGGUGGUGCAUGGUUGUCGUCAGCUCGUGUCGUGAGAUGUUGGGUUAAGUCCCGCAACGAGCGCAACCCUUAUUGUUAGUUGCCAUCAUUAAGUUGGGCACUCUAGCGAGACUGCCGGUAAUAAACCGGAGGAAGGUGGGGAUGACGUCAAAUCAUCAUGCCCCUUAUGACCUGGGCUACACACGUGCUACAAUGGUUGGUACAACGAGUCGCAAGACAGUGAUGUCAAGCCAAUCUCUUAAAGCCAAUCUCAGUUCGGAUUGUAGGCUGCAACUCGCCUACAUGAAGUCGGAAUCGCUAGUAAUCGCGGAUCAGCACGCCGCGGUGAAUACGUUCCCGGGCCUUGUACACACCGCCCGUCACACCACGAGAGUUUGUAAUACCCAAAGCCGGUGAGCUAACCUUUUAGGAGGCAGCCGUCUAAGGUAGGAUAGAUGAUUGGGGUGAAGUCGUAACAAGGUAGC
rnacentral:rRNA from 1 species